GGGGCGUGGUGGGUUCGGUGAUGUUGGGUCUUGCUGACGCGUUGGCAUGUGAGUUGUGCUUUGGAUAUUUGUGUUUGCUGGCUCUGUGCGUUUGCAUUGAACGGCAUGCAUGUAAUCCUUGUCAGUUUUUGUUGUGCGCCCUUGUGCCUUUGGUGUUCGUAUGUGGUUCCUGUUUGGCUUACCUUUAAAACGGUAUUCGUGUGGCUUGUUACGCUUGAUCCAUCCCCUGCCGUUGCACGGUCAUGUGGUGGCUUUUGAAGUUUUUACCUAUGAACCCUUUUUAGAUGUCCUUGUAUGUCUAUAAAGGUGCACAUGUAUUGACUGAAUUUAGGGAUGCGGUGCUUGAGAUGAACUUUCGUGUUUUCCACAUUGUCCCUACAUAACGGUUGCCUUAAAUUAUGCCUGCCGUUCUGCACGUUUUGAUCGCCUUUCGAGGGUGGCAAAGCUUGCAUUAUGGUCAGAGUCAUUAAUGGAUGC
rnacentral:misc_RNA from 1 species